ACCUGCAAAGAGAGUGAUGAUUGGGCAGCAGAAUCCAUUGUUUCACCCUUGAGAGUUGGAGAACUGGGAGCCGGCUUUCUGACUACUUCCUGUUGUCUUUCCCAAAUUGCUAGUUCUUGCUUUAUAUCUCUUGCUUCAUCCUUCCACAUGAAAUGAAACAGGGAAAUUCACCCACUUGGACCCAACUUCUUUGUCAUUGCUGAUCACAUCAAUGCCUUGGAUUUCUGUAUGCCUUCUAAGACACAAGGAUGAGGAUAUAAAUGUAUGGGCUGUAUUUUCAUGGAAUAUUGCCUUGAUGACCUAUAAAUACAAACUGAAAUAUCAGAGAUGCCAUCCAAUCUUAAUAGAUACACAGUUCCAUGGUGUAAUGUGACUUAAGUCACCAUGAUUAUGUUGGUAGAAUUCAUGGGUAAUUUUGGGUUGCAAUUCUUUCUAUUUUUAUGAUUUCUAGCAAUUUAUUUCUUUACCCUGGUAUGAAAUUUUGGACUGGUUGUACUGAUCAUUGAGGAUUCCUGGCUCCACAAUUCAAUGUAUUAUUUUCUGAGUUGUCUGUCAUUUUUGGAUGCCUGCUAUUCUUCUGUUGUUACUCCCAAAAUGUUAGUCAAAUUCAUGGCAGAAAAUAAAGCUAUUUCAUAUA